UACGGAGGGUGCAAGCGUUAUCCGGAUUCACUGGGUUUAAAGGGUACGUAGGUGGGCAGGUAAGUCAGUGGUGAAAUCUCUGGGCUUAACCCAGAAACUGCCGUUGAUACUAUCUGUCUUGAAUGUAGUGGAGGUGAGCGGAAUAUGUCAUGUAGCGGUGAAAUGCUUAGAUAUGACAUAGAACACCAAUUGCGAAGGCAGCUCGCUACACUACUAUUGACACUGAGGCACGAAAGCGUGGGGAUCAAACAGG
rnacentral:rRNA from 1 species